rnacentral:tRNA from 1 species
GGGGCGUUGGCGAAACGGGAACGCAUGCGGCUUUGACCCGCAGAUGAGAAGGAUCGACACCUUCACGCCCUGCCA